GAUGAAGAACGCAGCGAAAUGCGAUAAGUAAUGUGAAUUGCAGAAUUCAGUGAAUCAUCGAAUCUUUGAACGCACAUUGCGCCCGCCAGUAUUCUGGCGGGCAUGCCUGUUCGAGCGUCAUUUCAACCAUCAAGCCCCAGGCUUGUGUUGGGGACCUGCGGCUGCCGCAGGCCCUGAAAACCAGUGGCGGGCUCGCUAUCACACCGAGUGCAGUAGUUUACUCUUCGCUCAGGGCGUGUGGCGGGUGCUAGCCGUGAAACCCCCAACUUCUCAAGGUUGACCUCGGAUCAGGUAGGAAUACCCGCUGAACUUAAGCAUAUCAAUAAGCGGAGGA
rnacentral:misc_RNA from 1 species